GUGUUUACAGUUGUUUGUUAUUACCUGUGACAACCAUGUGGGUAUCGCCGAGUAAUGCCGCUUUUCCUCCUCUUUCCGCCAUUCAACGUAAUUUUUUUCCUCGUUUAAGGUGACAGCAUGGGAUUUCUCUCUGCCAAGAACGUGAUGGAUGGAAGUAUGGCAUUUCUACCUUUCUCGCUCGUCCUGUGGUGUGUUCUUACAGUUUUGUACUUGCAGACUUGACUAACAGUUCUCAGGCUUCACGUUUUUAGGUCAAAACAGGAGGCAGCACUCACAGACUCUGGACAACAUGCAACUCCCUCUCUUUCUUGAAGAUAUAACUGGACGAACCUACAUGUUUCACUCCUCAUCAGACGUCGAGGAAAUAGUAAUUAAUUUGAACGAAGAAGGCAAUGAACAGAAAUUCAAAAACCAUUAGAAGACAUCAUAAGCCUCCGAACAUCUACGAAGAAGACUCUUCAAGAAACUCUUCAAGAAGAUCAACUCUCUUUUUUCCUUAAUCCUAUAUUUCUUACAUCCUGUUUUGGUUCCCUGGUGCCAAGCAGUGAGUUGUGGCUCCGUGUCUAAACUGAAAAUUCAAAAUCUUAGCUGACUCAGUUUACUUGUUUAAUAAUGUCAAAGUUUAAUAAUACCAAUUUCAGACUAUCUCAUAGAAAACUUAAGAUUGAAUGCAUUUCUGAUUCAUUCUGAGUUCAGUAUCAAUAUGCAUGACUUAUCAAUUAAAUAUAAUAUUCCAAACGACCUGGAGACUAGGUAUUGAUAAAAUUAUUAAAAAAAUAUUGAUAACUGAUUGAAAUAUUAAUAUAACUCAUAAUAAAUCUUCUAUAAUAACUAUCAGAAAGUCCUCUAAUUAUUAGCAUAACGUUUUAAAAGUACUGUAGAUAUGAUAUGAAACAAAUGUAGUAAUUUCAGUGUGAUACUUAAAUAAUUAAUUUAUAUAAAACAAUCAAGGAACGAUAUAUUCAUUACAGUCAAUAUAUUCAUUACAGUCAAUAUUUCAAUAAACAGAAAUAAAUUUCAGUUCAAUAGAAAAAGUCUAUUCUGCAUAUAUGACCUUAAUUUGUAGCCAUAUAUCUGUGAGAAAAUCAUUAACAUAUAUAUACUAGUAAGUUCAAGAUUAUCAAUGAGUGUUGGUUUAGUAAACGGAAGCAAGCACAGUCAUGCUGACCACCACCUGGCUCUAACAAUCCUCCCGCUUCCGUUCCUUUAACCCCUAAGUUAAUGCUCUACAUCUACCCUGUAGAUCCGAAUUUGUGAGAUAAUUGUUAACAAAUUCGGUUCUAGAGAGGUUUGUGUGGGGCAUACAUGGCAACUGUCUAACAAACCUGCAUGGGGCAUACAUGGCAACUAACAAAACUGAAUGGGGCAUAUAUGACAACUGUCUAACAAACCUGUGUGGGGCAUAUAUAUGGUAAUGGUCUACCAAACCUGUGUGGGGGCAUAUUUGGCAACUAUCUAACAAACCUGUAUGGUGUUUACAUGGCAACUGUAUAACAAACCUGCAUAGGGGAAUGCAUGGAUAUUAUCUAACAGUGUACUGGGCUUCAUGGGAGUAUUGUUGUUGUAGUAGUAUAUACUAAUAUUCUAAAAAUAAUAAUGGCUUCAUGGCAACUAACAUUAACAAUAUCUAACACUAGGCAUGGCAACUAUGUGAUAUUGCAGUUGUCUAGCAGGGCUUUGGAUUACAUGUUAACUACUGUGUGAGAGCAUGGACCUACACAGGUCAAACCUAACUAUUGUACAUACAACAGGAAGUUUAAACAGUAAAUACAAUAAGACAAAACUGUAUAUAUCUGCCAGUUAAAAAAAUAAACAAAAUUUUAUGUUUCGGAGAUGAGUGUCAAUAUUUCCAUUCUUGUGUUUGUUAAUUGUAAAUGGCUACUCAUUUAGCCUGCCUAAUAGGCUUAUUUAGGACCCCUAGGCCAACUACUGUCCUUCUAAAGGACGCAACCUAUAAUAUUUGCUUAUCUUAUUGGUACCUAUUCACAGGUGCAUCAGGUGUAAGGAAACUUGUACAAGCGCAUCAUCCUCUACGGGAAUCGAGCCCGGGACGUCUAGGAUGUGAAUGGACUGUAAUGAUCACUGCAUAAAUUAUACCACACUUACUGUUUUCCAAUACAAAAAUGUAGUUUCCUUUCAAUAAAUCAUGAAUAUACAGUACAUAUGAUACCUUUGUAAUGGAGCUGUAAUUUAGCUACAGAUAUGGCCAUGUUCAGCUGCUAUGUAUACCGUUGCAAACCAGGAAAUACUUUAUACAACAAACCUUGCAAAUGUUACUUGGUACCUCAGUGGGCCUCACUCUUCCCAGUUUUGUUGAACACAUCACAGGAGUGCAGGCAACCACAUAGAGAAACAGCUGGAGAAGAUUAAGCAUAUCUACAGAGCACCCUUCGCUCCAGUAUGUGUGUAUCUACCAGCCCAUCCUUCUAAAAUGAUAGUACAGUACUGUACUUAUUGUAACGUAUUUGAUUGAAAGUACCAAUGUGUAGUGAUGGAUCACCAAAAAGUUAACUUUUUGUAUCACUGAAUUUAACCGAAAGGGAAACUAUUUUUUUUACCACAACAUAAAUAUAAGAUUAAUCUAACAUCUCCUAGCAGUUCUAGGCUUAUUGCACACUAUGUUAGGCCUAAUGUAGCGCAUAUGUAUGUGCUAUACUAGGCCUAAGAAUGUAUAUGUCUGGUGUUUAGCUUUAUUUUUUCCAGGCUAUAAAAAUAAAACUGCGAAAGUGAACAUUGUAGUGGUCCAUCACUACAUAUUGGUACCUUCAACUAAAAAAUUACUAUAAUUACUAUCAUUUCAGGAGUAUGGGCUGGUAGAUAAUAAGUAAUUAGAUAUAAAUAACGACUAGGGAUCGUAAAUACUAUCAAAUAAAGUAAAUAAAGUUGCAUUUUAAUUCCAAAUUAAGUUUGAUGAAUGACUCGACCAAGAAUAAGGAAGGCAGGACAGGGCUGUUAGUAUUAUGUAACUAAUAAAUAACAAUACGGUAAUACAAGAGUUAGCAAUAUCUGUACAACACAACUGUAGUAUUAUCUACUAAAAGCUAUAGUAUUAUCUAUCAGAAUGGUCAAGUUUAACAAAAUACAGGUGUUAGUAUUAUCUAUCUGAGAGACAAUUGUAAUUUAAUAUAGAUGUCAAUAUUGUCUAUCUGAGAAACAGCUGUAAUGCAAUAGAGAUUUUAAUAUUAUCUAUUUGAGAGGCAACUGUAAUAUAACAGAAGUGUUAAUUCUAUCUUUUAGGUAACAGAAUAUCUUGAGUAAACACUGGUCCUCAAACCGUACAAUAAUUGUAAUACAUGAUGGCUCUAACAUGUUGUGUUUAGACCGUGGAAUACCAAUUUAUAUGUAUUGAAUAUGAUCUGAUGCAGCUUGUAAUGUAUUAUAUUUAAUGCAAAAAGAGAAAAUGAGAGAGUGCUAAGAAUUUGUUGUAUGAUUUUGUACAUACAUACAUACAUGCAUACUUACAUAUACAUAGUAUCAUACUUUCUUACAUAAAUGGUUGUGUUCUCAAUCAAUUAAACCUAUAAAAUAAGUUGUAUAAAUUCCUUUAUUGACUAUAGGUGAAUUGAACCAUAAUUUCAAACCUCACAACAUAUAAUAAAUACUGUAGUUUGUUAUUUGUAGCCCUUGUAAACAAUGUUUAAGUCAAAUAAUUUUUGUAAUAGAAUUUAGAUACAUUUUCUAUUUUGAAAUAAAGUUACCAUUUUGGGAAACUGAAGUGGUAUAGUCAUAACAU
rnacentral:lncRNA from 1 species